CUAUUUCAAACACUCGCGAAAUUUGAGUACUCCUCAUAUGAAAUACCCCAGCGUCUUCUUCUCAAUCCUUGUACACCCCAGCCCUACCUCACAGCCCUGAAUACAUUGAACGAAGCCCCCACACCCUAAGAGAAGCUCUCACCUCUCGCGCUCUGGCCUGCCUUUGCUGUUGCCGACGAGGACUGCUCAUCUCGUGCCGCAAUCUCGGUCUCUGGAAGCUGCCUAUCGCGUCAUUGUCUCUGCCCGCGUUGUUGUCGUCCGUUCGGGCCAGCUGUUAGCUCGUCCUCUCUGCUCCAGUAACCACCAGUGUUUCUUUCAAUUUGUGAUGUUAAAAUGUGAUUAUGGUAGGUGUUCUUACUAUCAAAGAAGGUUUUGCAUGUUUUGAUAAUUGUACGAUGCUCCUCUGUCUUUUGAUCAAAUUUGGUAAUAUUUAAAGAGAUGAGAAAUUUGAUUAAAGUCCUAUCAUGAUAACCAAUUUUCUGGACCUUCCAAUUACUCAUGUCUCAUUUUUUGAUGAAAUCCCACUCCAUUAUCUGUAGCUAAGUCAGUGAUUAUAGCCUAAUAGGUGGUAUUUACUUAGAUGGUUAAUUUGAAUGUAUUGAUAAUUUAUGUUUGAGAAGAAAUUUUUCUUAUGAUCACUGAAGUGUGAAAAUAUUAGUAGUUUGAGCUGUGAUUUAGUCCUCUAGGAAUUAAUCAAUAAUCAUCAAACUAGUGUUAGAAAAAAAAUAGAUAUACAUCUUUUGCUACUUUUUUGUUUUCUUUUUAUUCUCUUAUUUUUUUACGUUGGAAAAAAACACAGCUAGUCAAUAUACACCAGUAAAUAACUUUAGCUACCAAGCCUAAGUUGACCACAAGUUUUAAUUAAAGAAACUUAAUUUUGCACUGCAAUUGAUAGAAUUUUAUUGUAACACAAGGCAAACAUGUCUGAAAGAGUUAAUUGAUCCAUGUCUGCAGACUGCAGUUGAGUACGAUGGAUAUGACACGGAUAAAAUAAGUCAAUAUUUUAAAUCUUAGAUAAUAUUACACAGUUAGUAAUGUAGUUUAUACACCAAUUAAUGUGAUAUAAAGUUUGGCUAAGUAAUAUUUCUUUACUGUGCAGCUCCAUGGCUGUGGAAAAAUCCAGGAGUAGGAUCUAAGUGGUAAUUGGAUUGCUUUGACUGCAUUUUAUAUAUAAUUCAAUGCUGGAUUUGAGAUUUGUGUGGUAUAAAUAAUUGAAUGCCCUAGUUUUGAUGGUUAAACUUGCUUCAGGUGUCAUUUUCACUUAUGUUUGUUUAUUAAUUUCAUGAACCAUGUGUUAUUCUUCAUUACUUAGUAGUGUUAAUUGUCAUUAACAAACACCUUAUGAAGCUUACCUUAAAGGUUAGUAUUUAUGAAGUAUGUAAUUGUUUUAUAGGAGUCUGUUUGUUUGGAUGAUUUGAAUGUGUGCUACAACCACCAUAUUGUAUUUAAAAUAUAUUAAGUGAUUUGUUAUUAUUCCACUGUUUAUUCUUCUAUUCAUGAAGGGCAUUCUUUCAAGCCUACUUCUUUAUCCAAUAAAAUAAUUCCUGUGCAAAAGACCCAUUCCUUGAACAGUUGAACCCAAUAAUAAUAUAUGCUCCUUAUAUUAAUAUUAAGUAAAGAUUUGCUUUCAGUGAUUAUAACGGAUAUAUCUUGCAGACUUUUAAAGUGGACAACAAGCCAAUUUCUUUUAAAGGUGCUAUUUAUCUUUUAAGAUGGUUAGGAAAGGUUGUUACACAAAAAACAAAAAUUAGGACCAGAAUGUUAGCAACCUCAAACAGCUCUGCCUCCUGCUUCGGCUUCCACCGCGAUGAUUCUCAAAUUCUUCCGGACAAUGGUGAUAGUGUCCCUCCAACUUCACGCCCUUUUCUUCUGCCGCGUAGUGUACCAAGGCCUGCUCCACAAACAAGCACAAAUAACAUUCAGGACUCGAGCCAGGCCAUGUAAACUUGGCAGCUGAUGCACAUAAUGUAGAUUCUCUUGACCAAGAAGCUUAUGACCCCUUUGUUAAUCCUAGAUCUUAGAGUCGCAAAGAACGCAAGACUACAGAGUCUUGGGAAGUUAAGAUCAUCGAUAAUGUAUUUAAUAAUUUUUCUUUGUUCAACAUGAUUUAGAAUAUAUGUUAUAUAUUAAUUUUCUCGCAUGCUGUCCACAACGGAUACACAUAUAAGGUAUUAUAUUUGGCUUAUAGAUUCUGACGGCACAAUCAAGCCGGCAAGAAUAAGCAUGAGGGAGGCUAUGGAACGGCCUAACGAUAGAAAGAUCGUACUCAGGUUCAACAACGCAAAGCAAGCAAUUGGUGACGAAGCUGGACUGUUGAUUGGCGUGCUUGGUCUGUUAGGAUCUGACUAUGAAAAAUUUCCUAUCUGUAAGAAAAGUUGGCAUAAGAUUACCACUAAAGACAAGAUUUAUAAUGAAUGUGUCAAGGUAAAAGUAUAUAUCCAUGUUGAAUCAAAUCUACUUAUUUUUUAAAUUAUUGACAAAUUGUAUUAUUUGUAUAGCAAAUUUUUCACUUUGAUGAAGAUAAUGAAGGAACUAUCAAGAAAAAUAUUUUGAAAAGUAUGGAAAAGUCUUAGAAGGAAGCAAGGCUGAGGUUGUAUAGUGAUUUUUACGAGCCAACAUUUACGAUAGAACAAAAUAUUGAACAGCAUCCAUCGGAAAUUGAUCGAGAGCAUUGGAGAUGGUUCCUUGAGUAUCGCGCCAAAGCUGAGACGAAGAGAAGUGUAGGAAAAACACGAUUAAUCGAUCAAAACAACUAUAUACCCACACUGGUAGAUCGAAAAGCUUUGCAUGACGGAUAGAAGAAGAGUGAUGGCUUGAACUUUCUUGAUAUAGUCGGAACAACAAAGGAGAAGAGUCAGUAGAAGAGAGUUAUGGAUCACAGUGCACAAAAAAAGGAUGGUUCCUAUAUCAAUGAGGAAACAAGAGCAAUUGGUGUAAGUACUACUUAUUAUAAUUGAUCGAUUAAGUUAUGAUCUCAAAUAGGGUUAUAGUCUACUUCUGUAUUUUAUUUUGUUUUUCAUUUCUUUACUGAAUAGUUUGCUUCCCUGUGUCAAGAUGGACCAAAAGAACUUUACUAUUUCCAAUUCACGUUACUUUUAAUUAUCGUUACAAAUUUACCUUGCUAUGUUUUUAGACAUUUUCAACUUUGAUGUAACUUAGAAACAGUUGGGGUAGAAUUUAAAUGAUUCAGUUUCAUUUAUCCUUUAUUUCUUUUUAUAGUGGUUUGCAUCCUAUGAAACAGAUGCUCUAUUUUAGUUGUUUUAUGUUGUUAUCUUUUGAGCCCCAAUUUUUAUCGCGUGAAUAUUUAUGCGUGUUUUCCUGUGAUGAAAGUGAUACAAUUAAUGUUCCUGU